UGCACAGUUGUUGAUUGAAAAUAACUCUGGAC
rnacentral:piRNA from 1 species